rnacentral:rRNA from 1 species
AGCGAACGCUGGCGGCAGGCUUAACACAUGCAAGUCGAGCGGGCAUCCUUGUGGUGUCAGCGGCAGACGGGUGAGUAACGCGUGGGAACGUGCCCUUCGGUUCGGAAUAACUCAGGGAAACUUGAGCUAAUACCGGAUACGUGCGAGAGCAGAAAGGUUUAUCUGCCGAAGGAUCGGCCCGCGUCUGAUUAGCUAGUUGGUGAGGUUAUGGCUCACCAAGGCGACGAUCAGUAGCUGGUCUGAGAGGAUGAUCAGCCACACUGGGACUGAGACACGGCCCAGACUCCUACGGGAGGCAGCAGUGGGGAAUAUUGGACAAUGGGGGCAACCCUGAUCCAGCUAUGCCGCGUGAGUGAUGACGGCCUUAGGGUUGUAAAGCUCUUUUCUUCGGGACGAUAAUGACGGUACCGGAGGAAUAAGCCCCGGCUAACUUCGUG